CCAAUCCCUACCUCCAUCUCUCCCCCCAAUUCACGCCUCCAUCUCUUCUUCAUUCCUUUCCAUCUCUCCUCCAAUUCCUUUUCAUCCUUUGGUUUUCCCCAUGGCUAGAGUAGGGAGAGGCAAAGGGAAGCAUCCCUCCAUGGAUGAGGAGGCGGAGCUUGAUGUGGAUCACCGGGGGCAGCGCCGCGCCGCCGCCAGGGAUGGGAGGAAGGGGAGGAGGCAGAGAACAAGGAGACAUCGAGAAGAGGGGUGUUUUGAUCUCCUUAUUCCUCCAAUGGAUGGGGAACAAGCAGUAUGAUUGCCUCAAUUUCGAGUCAGCUCAGCCGCCAUGAAGGAGGAGGAUGUGCUCCACCUCAUCUCCAUCCUCACGGCUUUGCCACCGGAUUGGUGCCGAUCUCCGUGUCCCCUGCAAGGGGAUCCCAACCUUUCCAUCUCUCCUAUCAAUUUCUCGGUUUCUCUCUAGCAGAUUGCUGCUAUAUGGAAGUUGCUUGAGAUUCCGUGUCACGGUUUGAUUGUCCAUCCUGGCUUUUAUAGUGUCAUGCGGAGAAGGAGUGGUGAAGAGAGGCUUCACGGAAGACAUCUAUUGCCUUGAAGAGCAACACCCAACCUUCUGCAACAAGAUUGAAGUUAUAGGGCGGUUAGCCACGUUGUUCAUACCUUCGUCACCACCAUCACCUCCUGCCCAGCUGUCUUGAGACUGAAUAUAGGUCGACCGGGUCUUAUUGUACUGCAUUCUCACUUUGCACCACCGUGUCGACCAAAGAGACAACCAAAUAUUGAAGCGCAUACAUUAUACUGUACCAGACAAUGCAAAGGUGUGAAGUUCCUUUGUGCUCAACGGCAACACAGAACUUCUAGGCCUGACUUGUCAUUCUUCCUGCAGCAUGGUUGAGACAAUUCAAAUUCUGGAACUACAAAGAUACUAUUCAAGAAAUAUGGGAAUACAAAGUAAUGAGUAGCAAAAAAAACUUAUUGCGCGAGUCUUUGGAUUAGCUCCUCAAUAGCACUGCCCUUGGACCUCAAUGACACAGCUCAACAUGAAUUUCGCAUCUAAAGGAAAACGCAGCUUCAGAGGAUGUGCAGAUUCAAGCAAAGCCAGUGCUCGCCGUCACCAAGGUGUUGCGGUGUUCCGCGGUCGUCCGCGUCUCUGAGGAUGAUAUGUUGCCAGGCUAUGCGAUGGAGACACUACCGGAGGAGGACAUCAUAUCCUAGCAACAACAACCUAGGACGAGAUCCAUUUCGCCUGCAACGAAGUUUUGGUAGACCGUCCUGUCUAGGUAGGCGGCCGCGACAUCCUGACGAACUUGACUAGCAUGUGUAGGUGAAUACAAAAUUGAGAAAUAAGUGAACGGCAAAUUGUUGGUGAAUGUAAAUUUCUGAAAGGAAAUAAUUAGUUUUAUGUUCGUUUUGGUCAAACAUCGUUACUGCAGCUGAUGCUUACUGCAGCUGAUGCUGUGUUAUAAUCUGAGUUAUUCCAUGCGAGCUCGUACUGCAGUUUGGGUUAUAAUCUGAUUUCUGA